GCUCACAUGGCGUAGUGACGUAGUCACUGCACUCGCCUUGCACGCGGGAGACCCGGGUUCGAUUCCCGGUGGGGUCA
rnacentral:tRNA from 1 species